CCUACGGGAGGCAGCAGUGGGGAAUAUUGCACAAUGGGGGAAACCCUGAUGCAGCGACGCCGUGUGAGUGAAGAAGUAUUUCGGUACGUAAAGCUCUAUCAGCAGGGAAGAAAAUGACGGUACCUGACUAAGAAGCCCCGGCUAACUACGUGCCAGCAGCCGCGGUAAUACGCAGGGGGCAAGCGUUAUCCGGAUUUACUGGUUGUAACGGGAGCGUAGACGGCAGCGCAGGUCUGGAGUGAAAUCCCAUGGCUUAACCAUGGAACUGCUUUGGAAACUGUGCAGCUAGAGUGCAGGAGAGGUAAGCGGAAUGCGUAGUGUAGCGGUGAAAUGCGUAGAUAUUAGGAGGAACACCAGUUGCGAAGGCGGCUUACUGGACUGUAACUGACGUUGAGGCUCGAAAGCGUGGGGAGCAAACAGGAUUAGAUACCCCUGUAGUC
rnacentral:rRNA from 1 species